rnacentral:rRNA from 1 species
AGAGCGAACGCUGGCGGCAGGCCUAAUACAUGCAAGUCGAACGGAUCCUUCGGGAUUAGUGGCGGACGGGUGAGUAACACGUGGGAACGUACCCUUUGGUUCGGAACAACUCAGGGAAACUUGAGCUAAUACCGAAUGUGCCCUUCGGGGAAAAGAUUUAUCGCCAUUGGAGCGGCCCGCGUCUGAUUAGCUAGUUGGUAGGGUAAAGGCCUACCAAGGCUACGAUCAGUAGCUGGUCUGAGAGGAUGAUCAGCCACACUGGGACUGAGACACGGCCCCAGAAUCCUACGGGAGGCAGCAGUAGGGAAUCUUGCGCAAUGGGCGAAAGCCUGACGCAGCCAUGCCGCGUGAAUGAUGAAGGUCUUAGGAUUGUAAAAUUCUUUCAGCGGGGACGAUAAUGACGGUACCCGCAGAAGAAGCCCGGCUAACUUCGUGCCAGCAGCCGC